ACUUUUCUGAAUGAUUAAAGAAAGGAUGAUGUAAAAGCAUUAUGUUGAACUAACCUUCAAAGCACCUGGAAUGACACAACGAAGAGUAUCAAGAUGUGCAUUAAUCCUAGCUCUUCUCCUCCUUUCUGCCUCACUAUGAUUCUUCAAAGCUUCAACACUUCUCUCUGUAGUGGACACACCCUUUCCUUCCAUUUUAACAGGUUCCUCUACAAGCUCCCCUCUCUCCCUAUCCAAAACCAGAGAGAAACUUGAACCAUACCCACUUCCAAUUACCUCAUUGUUUACUUCAAAACCAUUUUUACCAAUUCUCUCAGUAGCAUCUCCAAAUAUAUCAUAACCUUCCAUUUCCAUAGCAAAGUGAAAAGAGAAAUGAAAAAGGAGAGUUGUUUGUGGGGACCAAACACAGGAGACAACCUUGGAAACAAUGGAAUAAGGAGAGGUGUUUGUUCUGUGUCAGAGUUGUUUUGGAGUGUGAUAGUGAUGAAAAUGACAGUGUCAGUGAACAAGUGACAGUAGAUGAUGAUGAUGAUGGCUAAGGAAGUGAAGGAACUGUUAUGGAAUACACACCUUUUUAUAUUGGAGAAGUUCUUGUACCAAUAAGAUGUAAGGUGUGGCCUUGGUACUUUCUUUACUUGUAAAAUGUUGAAAAAUUUGCUUGAUUUCAAUAGUUUAUGCAUACUAGAAUCAUAUAGAAUCAAAUAUUAAUAAUAAUUUUUAAUUUUAG
rnacentral:lncRNA from 1 species